rnacentral:rRNA from 1 species
UUUAAUGAGAGUUUGAUCCUGGCUCAGGACGAACGCUGGCGGCGUGCCUAAUACAUGCAAGUAGAACGCUGAUGUUUGGUGUUUACACUAGACUGAUGAGUUGCGAACGGGUGAGUAACGCGUAGGUAACCUGCCUCAUAGCGGGGGAUAACUAUUGGAAACGAUAGCUAAUACCGCAUAAGAGUGAUUAACACAUGUUAGUUAUUUA